GAUGAACGCUGGCGGCGUGCCUAACACAUGCAAGUCGAACGAAGCACCUGAUAUCUUCGGAAGGAUGGUGACUGAGUGGCGGACGGGUGAGUAACGCGUGGGUAACCUGCCUCAUACAGGGGGAUAACAGUUAGAAAUGACUGCUAAUACCGCAUAAGCCUACAGUACCGCAUGGUACAGCAGGAAAAACUCCGGUGGUAUGAGAUGGACCCGCGUCUGAUUAGCUAGUUGGUGGGGUAACGGCCUACCAAGGCGACGAUCAGUAGCCGACCUGAGAGGGUGACCGGCCACAUUGGGACUGAGACACGGCCCAA
rnacentral:rRNA from 1 species